UUACGGUCAUAUCACGUUUAAACGCCAGUUUUCGUACGAUUACAAAAGUUAAGCAACGUCGAACCUGGUCAGUACCUAGAUGGGAGACCGCUUGGGAAGCUUGGA
rnacentral:rRNA from 1 species